rnacentral:rRNA from 1 species
GAUGAACGCUAGCGACAGGCCUAACACAUGCAAGUCGAGGGGCAGCACAAGGAGCAAUCUGAGGUGGCGACCGGCGCACGGGUGAGUAACACGUAUGCAACCUACCUGUAAGAGGGGAAUAACCCGUUGAAAAACGGACUAAUACCGCAUAACACUGUAGAACCGCAUGGUUUGACAGUUAAACAUUUAUGGCUUACAGAUGGGCAUGCGCAUGAUUAGCUAGUUGGUGAGGUAACGGCUCACCAAGGCAACGAUCAUUAGGGGUUCUGAGAGGAAGGUCCCCCACACUGGUACUGAGACACGGACCAGACUCCUACGGGAGGCAGCAGUGAGGAAUAUUGGUCAAUGGGCGAGAGCCUGAACCAGCCAAGUCGCGUGAAGGAUGAAGGUUUUAUGAAUUGUAAACUUCUUUUGCAGGGGAAUAAAGUGUCCGACGUGUCGGAUUUGUAUGUACUCUGCGAAUAAGGAUCGGCUAACUCCGUGCCAGC